CGGACGGGUGAGUAACGCGUGGGCAACCUGCCCUUAUCUGGGGGAUAACAGUUGGAAACGACUGAUAAUACCGCAUAAUAUGGUUUGAAGGCAUCUUCUUUCCAUCAAAGAUUUAUCGGAUAAGGAUGGGCCCGCGUCUGAUUAGCUUGUUGGUGAGGUAACGGCUCACCAAGGCGACGAUCAGUAGCCGACCUGAGAGGGUGAUCGGCCACAUCGGAACUGAGACACGGUCCAAACUCCUACGGGAGGCAGCAG
rnacentral:rRNA from 1 species